rnacentral:rRNA from 1 species
GAUGAACGCUGGCGGCGUGCCUAAUACAUGCAAGUCGAGCGAACGGACGAGAAGCUUGCUUUUCUGAUGUUAGCGGCGGACGGGUGAGUAACACGUGGAUAACCUACCUAUAAGACUGGGAUAACUUCGGGAAACCGGAGCUAAUACCGGAUAAUAUUUUGAACCGCAUGGUUCAAAAGUGAAAGACGGUCUUGCUGUCACUUAUAGAUGGAUCCGCGCUGCAUUAGCUAGUUGGUAAGGUACCGGCUUACCAAGGCAACGAUGCAUAGCCGACCUGAGAGGGGGAUCGGCAACACUGGAACUGAGACGCGGUCCAGACUCCUACGGGAGGCAGCAGUCGGGAAUCUUCCGCAAUGGGCGAAAGCCUGACGGAGCAACGCCGCGUGAGGGAUGAAGGUCUUCGGAUCGUAAAACUCUGUUAUUAGGGAAGAACAUAUGUGUAAGUAACUGUGCACAGCUUGACGGUACCGAAUCAGAAAGCCACGGCUAACUACGUG